rnacentral:tRNA from 1 species
UCCUGCUGGCUCAGAGGGUAAAGCGUCUGUCUGUAAUGCAGGAGACCCAGGUUUGAUCCUUGGGUCAGGAA